GAGAAAACCACAAGGGAAUUUCUUUGAGGAACUUGGUGCCUUGUAUACCUCAAUACCCUUCACAAUCCCUUCUAAGUCUUAAUCUUAAACAUAUGAACUGAGCCCAGAACCUUGAGAAGAAGACCUACAAUAACAAUAGCAAUGAAGUAAAGAGACAUUGAAAGUCAGGAGAUUCUUUUGGUCUGAUAGCAACCCUUCAUAAAUCUUUUGCUAACUUUGGAUUUGACCAAAGUAAGGAGUGAUGGAAUCUUUGUAGGAAUGACAGUGGCUUUCUCUACUACCUCUCUUUCCUCUUAUAUUGUGUGGAGUCAGGUACUCGAUAGAUCUCACAGACAUUUUUAUCUCCUCCCUGCCUAAAAUUUUGAAAUGCUAGGGUUAGAUUAAAUAUCUUUGCUCCUUACUAGCAACCUUGAAGUAAGAAAAAAAAUUUUCAUCUCACUCAGAAUUAUUAAAUUCAAUCACAAUGGUGUUCCUUCACUUAAUCAAUGUGGCAGGUAUGACCUAACAAUGAAAAUUCUUCUACCUUCUGAACCAAAGGAAAACAUUACUCAUGCAUCUAAAGAGCUAUAUGAGUGAAUCUACAUCAUAGUUAGGCAGUGGUUCAUAAAGGAAAUUCAAUUCCUGUAAUUAUGCUAACCUUGCAUACUAAACUAGCUAUGUCUGAAUAUACCCCCUACACUGUAGCUACUGAUACCAUCAGUACACUAGAAGAUGUUGUCCAAGUAAGCAGUAUAACUCCCAGUGAAGUCAGUGCUCAAGAGAGACUACCUGUUUGUUCUACUAUCGUGAAUAGAUCCCAGGCAAUGACAAACAGUAAGUGGGUGGUUCUUGACAAAGCCUAUAUCAAGAAGCCAUCAACACUACUUCCCGGAUACAUGAUUUUCCUGUAGCUAAGUCUGGGACAAGGAAGUGGGCAUGAGUACAUGACGUCUCUGACACCCCCACUUCCUGGAUCUGACAAAUCAAAGGAGAAAGAGGAGGAGGAAGAAAGAAGAAAGCAAAAUUAAUGAGCAACCUGACUUUUUCUGACAGUGUAUGCAACAUUCUGCUCCCAUUGCAUCUCACCUUUUUCCUGAAAGAAGAGAAAGAUAUGUUUUAUCAACUUUUUCUACGGGAUCAGGAUUGUUCAUUGUAAAUAAUCUCAGUUUUGCUACCUAUGAGUAAUGUUUUUCAGUUGCAUUGUUGUUAUUUAUAUUACUCUCCUAAGUCUGACUACAUCAAUUUAUGUCUUCCUAAGUUUCUCUGAAUCCUUCAUAUUUACCAUUUGUUAUGAUGCAAUAGGAUUACAUUACAAUCAUAUACCAUAAUUGGCUCAUUCCUUCUUAAAUUGAUGAGUAUGGUUUCCAGUUGUUUUGAGUUGGGUUUUUUUUUCCUGCCACAAAAAGUACUGCUACAAAUACAUUGGCAUAGAUAGAAACGUUCUGUACCGACCAAAUUAGAGUUGAGCAUUCCUAGGACAGCUGGAUUUUGAAAACCAUGCAAAAUCAGACAUUUUUAGAUCUUAAACAAAGACAAUUCAAGGCAAAAUCUUGAUUUUUAAUCUAUAUACCAGAAAGCCUACAAUCCAGCAUGU